GUCUUUUAGAGAUUUUUCCACAUUUUCCUGAUGUGAAUGCCAUGCAUUAGAGUCAUCAAGGAUCCAGCUUAUUAUUGGCAAAUUGGACAGUACAGAAAGCGCACAAGUGGAAGAGAGUGGAGGGGACGGCAUCAGAAACGACCUAGAGCUGGG